UAUCGUGCUUUUUGUUUUAUUAGUAGGUUUAUGGUUUGAUUUGUGAUUUGGUGGUUUUCCUUGGUGCUGUUUUCCUUUUGUUUCCGCCUUUUCCCAGUUAUUUCGUCAGCUAGUUUCUAGUUUCUAUUUCUCCAAACUUUACCUGUUUAUUGAAACCGCUUUUCCUCCCUUGGAAUUGUAUUGGUUCACUGCCGUUAUCUCUGCCUAGAAUUUUUACUCCCAACUCUCCUGAUUUGUUGAAAGUUGUGCCUACCCCUGACCUUCCUCCACAUAUAAGUCUUUGUUUGCCCCUUGAUCGGGGUCCCAGGAGAGGAAAAGGGGAAGUUUACCAUCAAAUAAAGUUUUCCUGGGACCAGUGUCCGCUGCCUGUGUUUUAUAUUGCGCCGAAACAAUUGACAACUGGGAUUCAACGGAGCUCCAGGGGGAACCUGCCGCCCCCCCUCUCUUGUCAUCAGCUAGCCGGGGAAAGACAGUGGCAUCAGGUACUGGAAGGUGCAGUAAGAUCUGCCUGGAGCCUUGUCUUCCCCAGCUGUCUCAGCCUGUGUUCACAGAAGAGGUGCUCCAGCCCUUUGAUCAUCUCUGGACUCUCUCGAACAGGAUUCUCUUAAUGCAGCUUCAUUAAUGAAGAAAGGACGAUAUGGAAAUGACCUUUCCCAAGAAAUCAUCUAGACUUAACCACAUGCACUGAGGAAGGAGACCAUUCCUGACAGACACUGGUCUACCUCAAACACUGAAGAACACUUACCGUUUUUCCCUAGCUUUUCUGUUUCAGUCCUCUACCAUCCUACAGAAGAAGAGCUUUUCCCACCACCCCACUAACAAGUAUUUUUUUCCUAGAGGGUUUCCAAGCAGAGUUUGAUUUGGACUGAAAAAACCACCCAGAUCUCCCUGAGGAGCUAGUACAAAAAUGUAAAGGACGUAAUGCACUGUUUGGAUGUGGUUGGGAAGAUGCCAAUGCCAUCAGGUCCACCAUGAGCAGUGACACACUAAUGUUCCAUCUGAUCAUGCAGGUGUUUUCCUGACA